UACGAAGGACCCGAGCGUUAUCCGGAUUUAUUGGGCUUAAAGGGUGCGUAGGCGGAUUUACAAGUCAGUGGUGAAAUCUCCCAGCUUAACUGGGAAACUGCCAUUGAAACUGUUUAUCUUGAGUACAUUUGAGGCGGGCGGAACGUGUCAUGUAGAGGUGAAAUUCUUAGAUAUGACACAGAACACCAAUUGCGAAGGCAGCUCGCUAAGCUGUAACUGACGCUGAGGCACGAAAGCGUGGGGAUCAAACAGG
rnacentral:rRNA from 1 species